CAACCCUACACAGGACCUUUGCAUCCUCUGCACACCCAAUUUAACACUCACAAAUGACGGUGUCAAAAGACUUGUGACUUUACGACACGAGGAAGUGAGAAGAUCCGUGUAAAGCAGUGGACAGGCAAUCUCUCUUCAUACUACAAAGUGUACAUUCUCAAUGUUGAGUUCUACUGCUGCACUAGUUUUAUAGGUGUACGGGUGCUAUAGCCCAAAGAAAAAGGUGGAGGAUGAGAUGCCAUCUGAAAAAAUCCUUUCAGUUAGCAGCUGGUCUUUUCCUUUUGGCCAGUGUCUUCGUCUACGUUCGGAGAGCACAAAUGGCAAAGGGGUCAGUGACCUGGGUCUGGGAGACUGAGACUUGGCGUGAAGAGCUUAAGAGCUAUUAUCUACGAUUCAAUGUUUCCAUUAAAGUUCUGGCAGGAGUCCCUCAGCAGUCCAAGAAGUUCCUUACAAUGGGACUUUCUUCUGUGAAGAGGGAAAAGGGCAGUUACCUUCAGAACACUCUCAAAUCAAUAUUCUCUCAGUCCUCGGAGGUGGAGCUGGCUGAAAUUGUUGUAGUGGUUAUUCUGGCUGACUUUGAUGUGUACUGGAUCAAGCAGACCCUACAGACAAUUACAAAUGAAUUCUCCUCCCAGCUGUCCAAGGGUCAAUUGCUAGUUAUCCACGCCAUCCAAGAGUGCUAUCCCCCUCUAACAGGUUUGAAGACAAACUUCAAUGAUGCUCCAGACCGCGUGACCUUCCGUUCGAAGCAGAAUGUAGACUAUGCCUUCUUGCUCCAUUUCAGCAGUAACCUCUCCCAAUACUAUAUCAUGUUGGAGGACGACGUGAGGUGCUCAAAGAACUUUGUCUCUAGUUUACGGGAACACAUCCGUUCAAUGUCAACCACAAAGUGGGUCACGCUAGAGUUCUCCAAGCUGGGCUACAUUGGAAAACUCUAUCAAUCCCGUGACCUGCCCUCUCUGGCCCGUUUCCUUUAUAAUUUCUACCAAGAGAUGCCUUGUGACUUCUUGUUGUCUCAUUUCCGCACCUUGUUGAUGCAGGAUAAAGUCAUUCGUUUCCAGCCAUCUUUGUUUCAGCAUAUGGGCACAUACUCGUCUUUUAAGGCGAUGCAAAAUCAUCUAAAGGAUGAGGACUUUGUUGAAGAAAUUGCUGAUAAUCCUCCAGCAGACAUUAGUACGAACAUUGAGUUUUUUAUGACCUACACACCCGACAAGGCUUAUAGCCAAGGCUUGGAGUAUUUCUGGGGAAAGUCCCCUAUUAGCUCAGGAAACUACUUCUUGUUGACCUUUCACAAUCCAGUUCUCAUCUCCCACAUCCAUAUAAAAACAGGAAUGGAUGGAAAAGACCAGCUUGUCUCUGCUGUUGUGGAACUUGGAAAAAUUCUGGUGAAGUCCUCAAUGGAGUGCUCAGGGUUUCACAUCUUGGGUUCUCUUGAACAAGGACAGUUGGAUCUGCCCGCUGUCCAGAAACUUGUGAACACCACUGUGUCGUGUUUACGAAUACGAGUCACAGCUGACCAAUCAGACUGGGCCAUCAUACAAUUCAUCCAGAUCUGGACUGUUAAAGCUGUCAUAACCAAAUAAUAUCUUUUGAAUAUUGUUUUUUUUUAUCCAUAACUCACAGACUUCAACAAAUCUGUUCUCCAUCUUUUGGUAUAAUAUAUAUAUAUAUAUAUGUAUAUAUAUAUAUGUGUGUGUGUGUGGUAUUAAAAUAUUUACAUUACAUUACAUACAUUUACAUUAGGAAAGACUCCAGCCUAAUAUUGAAUUAAAUACAAGAAGUCUAUUGUGACAGUAGUUGGAGGCAAUUGUAACACUUGAAAAAUAAAUCAUAUUAACUCUCUUAAAUAAAAGCACACCUCAAAGAAAAUGCUUUUUACUUUAAUAUUUGUAUUAAUAAUUAGGUGUAUUAAUAAUAUCCUUAUUAAUAAUACUUAUUAAAGGUGGGGUAUGUGAUUUUCUUUUUUGACCAUUUUUUCAAAAUAACUUGAAAUCCUAUUCCUAACCCACUUACUGGCUGUAAAUUAGAAGCACUGAAAUGAAAAUUAAGCAAUUUAAUCAUCUGUAGAACGGGCAGGACUCGAAAAACUCCAGCCAAUCAUUUUCAAGACCAUCUAGAAUCAUUGGACAGAAAAUGUGUCAAUCAAACGGUCGUACCAUGCCCCCCUACCCCACCACCCUGGCGGGCGUGUCCCGUUCGUGCGCAUACUCAAAGCUCGUGACCCAGUAACAGGAAGCGAUUGUAUUUAUGUAUGGAGAAUAGAGCUUUUAUAGUGCUAGUGGGGUUGUUCCACAUUUCUAUGAAUCCUGUUUUGAAUAGAAGACCGCUGUACAGACGCCAGGGCUGGCGAUGUUCUUUUUUUUUACAGUUAUGAGAAAAUCAGCUCUACACCUUUCAAGAGUGGUAUGCGACCCUCUCCUCCUGCUGUGUCAACAAUUUGCUCUGAAAAAUUGUCUGACAGGUGAAUGCACUGUUUGACUAGUGAGUCUAGAACACUGCGCAUCUGAGUUUUCGCUCGUGCAUGAUUGCGCGUCCAUGUUUUUCGAAUGGGUGGAGUCAGGGCCAGCGUUGGAGGAGAGAAGGUAGGACCUUAGAGUUGUGUAUUUUCAAAAUCUGCCGGCCGUUUUGCAAAUCACAUACCCCACCUUUAAUAAUUAUAAAAUAUUUUUUAGUAUGUGUAAAUGGAUACUUUGAUAAAUUAAUGGUCAUUGCAGAUUUUAAAGAUUCAAUCUUAUGAAAUACAAAUUUCAUGACUGAAUUCUAAGUGUUAGAAUUGCCCCCAAACCUCAUAGUCAUAUACAGUAGAUAUCUGGGACAUUUUAAGAUUCUGUCAUUUAUGGUAAUUGUCCACCAUCAACAUAGUGAUAAAAUAGAUAGCAAUUUAAAUUCAAAGGCAUCAUAGUCUUAGAAAAUUACCAGGCAUCUAAACAAAAAUCCCAUUUAUACCUCAAAAUCACUGAUACUAUCAAACUUUUUUCCCAGCCUUUACUGAGCACUGCUGAAUAACUGUCAUCACUCUAGCCAUCACUCUGAAAUGUAUUAUUAUAAAGCUACAGUAGACAUUCUGUGUUGUCCCGUUACAAUUUUGGCUGGCUCCCCAAGUUUUAUUAAAAGCCCUGUGGCUAACACUCGAUACAGUUGUCAAUUUAAAAAAGCAACAUGAACCACAGAGGCUUCUGUACAUCGUUCCUCCUCCUCCACUUGUAAACAGCGCUGCACUUCUGGCUGUGACGCACGUUUGUCAGUUCUCGCGUCUCUCAAAUGCCAAUGUGAUUACAACACACAUGCGUACCACAGCUGACUGGAAGCAUGAUUUAGAGGUAAUAAAGUACUUCAAUAUUGUUAUUUUUUGCACCAAAUGUUAUCGUGUCACUUUAGAAUACAUUCAUUUAUCAGCUGGAGUCAUAUGGAUGACAUUUAUGCUGACUGUCUGAAUUUUGGAGCUUCAAAAGUCAGAUCACCAUCCACUUGCAUUUUAAGGACCUACUGAGCUGAGAUAUUUUUCUAUUUUUCUUCAAACGUGUUGUGGUGAAGAAAGAAAGUCAUACACACCUGGGAUAUCAUGAGGGUGAGCAGUGUUCGAACAGAGCUCUUGGGGGAUCCUCUUACACCGAAAAACUGUAUCGAGUGUCAAACUGUGUCAAGUAUCAAAUCAACUUGUCAUCUCUUACUUUGUGUAACAUUUAAAUUGCUCAGUUGUGCAGAUCAGCCAGUUUCAUUGCAUCGCACUGCUAGAAUUUUCUCUGAAAAUGCUACUUGCUCAGGUGGUUUGCUGGGGCUUUUCUUCUAUUAGCUUGUAAGAUAAGUUCUGCUUUUGGCCAUGACACAUAGAAGCGCAUCUUUAACAAUUUAAGCCUUGGCUAAAUCUGUCUGAUUUGCAUCAAUAUUUUAGGUCAUUAAAAUAAGACUAGCUGUCUAAGCCAUUUCGGCCAAGUAGGCCGAGGCACACAUAUCAUUUUAGUACAUUAGUGUUACGCUUUAUGGCCUGUGGCCAAGGCACACCUAGCUAGUAUACGCUUGGUGCACAUUGUUUUUGGGAGCAGCGGCAGUACAUAAGUCUUGGCGAUAGAGCUGACUGGUUAAAAGGUUGUGUUUUGUGUUAUGUGCUUUUUGCAGCUUUGCUGCUUUGUUGGGGGAUUGUUUGAUGCUUGAUGCAGCAUGACUUGAAUGUUGUGUAAUUGUGCAACAGCAGCAUGUCCACAUGCUUGUCCACUGCUUUUCUAGCAGAAGAAAGAAUUUGCAUUUGCUCUACAGUGCAGCGUAGCAGAUCAAUUCUGCCAAGACCAAUAUCCUAUUAAUAUGUCAUACCCACAUUAAAAUGCUAAAUCUUUCAGAGAAUUGUCAUGAUUGAACUGUAAAUAAGCCAUUCUUAGGGUUAGGGCUAACAUUGUGUCUCUGUGGCGCUAUGAAAAUUCCACUGUUGGUUUUGAGUGACCCGUCUCAUGAGACACAACUGCACUAGUAGCGCAGAAAUUAAACAGUUCAGCUUUAAUAAAUAUUUUAUUUAUUUAUAGAAUUUGGGGAAAAGCAGCUAUAUUUAUAACAUUUAAAACAUUUUAUAUUUAUAUUUAACCAGUAGAAUAAGCAUUAGAAAUCACUUACUGAUCACACACACAACACAUAUGAAUAAACAGGGUGCAACAAACAAAUAAAUUAAUAAUUAUACCAAUCAAGCACAUGAAUAACAUAUUUGUGACCACACACACUCGUGUGGGCCACACACUGUACGUAUACUGUUUUGUACGUAUAUGCGCAUUUGUAAUAACCAGAACAUACAUUUCAAGAGAAUUCUUUUCUAAUCCUUAUACUUCACAAGCUUUGCCCAAAUGUCCUUUUGGAUCUCAUGGUGACAUGUGGUUUCAGGCUAAGGAGGUGGAAUGAAACAAAUGACAUCCUCGAAUACAUACCAGAUCAUGUCUUCUCUGGUGGGCCAGAAGAGUCGGUUCUCUCCCACACGGUGCAUGCAUCUCACUUGCAUCUGAACCUCAUCAAUGCGGGUGAUAAUGCCUGGGUAGAGGUCUCCAUCAUAUUGUAUGACACACCACUUUUGAAUGACUUCUGGACCCCAUUCGAUCUCUUCUGAUAUUGGUGUGCUUGGCCUGCUCCCUGAAAAACUACACCCUGUACGUGGAAAGACAGGAGUGUGGUCAUUGCAUGGGCAUCAACACCACCAUGUGUAGUGGAACAUGCUUCACACAGAGCUGGUGACUUCCGGCGACACAAGUGACCUGUUGGCGAGUAGAUGUGGGCGUUUCCAGAGAAUUCAAAAAAGUUGAGAAAAGUUUAACUCUAUGCAAAUGAGGACUGACUUUCGGCAGCAACUACCAAUUGGAGUGCAGAUGGUGUCAAUGGAGCUCACAUCAUCCGCCAUGUUUGAGACAGCACUGUUGAGUGCAGACAAGACAGAAAGUUAAAAUAUCUAUCUAGCCAAGACAAGGCUCCAGAACCAAAGAGGCAACCAACAGGUCUACAAAAACAUGAUGGAUUGUCUAAUAAAGACUGUUCGUUCUGAGGGCUACUUUGGGAUGUACAG